ensembl:rRNA 5S_rRNA 5S ribosomal RNA
UCCUGCAGCCAUACCACCUCAACUCUGAUCUUGUCAGAUCUCACAGCCGUGUGGCUGGUCAGCACUGGGACGCAAGUCCCCGGAGAGGGAAACGGUGUUGCAGGAA